rnacentral:lncRNA from 1 species
CAGCUGCUUGGAUUUAUGUGAGUGCUGUAUGUUUUGUGCAUGCUACAUGUACAUAUGGCGCUGGAGCCCCUGCCCGUCUGCAAGCUAGGGAGUCAUUGACUCAUUACCUGUACGUACUGGCCCUCCGUAGUCCUUUUUCUUUUGUCAUUUUCAUGAGGACAGGAGGUACACUUUUUUUUUGUUCGUUCGUUCGUUUGUCAUGUGAAUACCAUAUUUUGCAAGGGGUACACUUGAUUCCUACAUCUAGCCGCAGCUAGCUGUAAUAAAAUGCCUUCAGCUGAGAGGUGCACAUGCAGAAGGUAAAGGUCAGCAUUGCAAUGCAACUUCAUUCCCUGCUACAAAUUCACGAAUUCAUCAAGGUGGAUUCCCUCCGAGAAGGCGAGAACAAUGGAGCCCGUUUCCCCUCUCUCUAGCUCUACUAGCUAGCCAGAGCUAGUCAGCUAGCUGAAUCUACACCAGCGUCGCGCGCCAUUGCUACGUGCGUGCACGCAUGUCACGUCGUCCAUGGCCAGCACUGCUGCAUGCGCCAUCUAGACUAGACUAGACUAGACUACUAGCUAGCAGAGGCAGCGCAUGACGCCGACGACGAAGCUAGCGAUGCAGUCGUCGUGGCCGCGGCCGUGGAGCUCGUCGUCGUCGUCGACGUCGUCGUCCCGGACGAGGCGCUCCAGGCCCCGGUUCCUCGGCAGCGCGCCGGCGCGGUGCAGGAUCGUCGCCGCCGCGGCCGCCGGCCCGCCGGCCGCCACGCGCGCCGCGAACCGGACCACCGGCCUCAGGAACAGCGGGAGCAGUGCCUGCAUGAGCACGAGGACGGGUCGUCAGAAAACGCGCGCGACGUUAGUGCUAGUGCGGCAGCGGUGAAAGCCACACGGCUGGCCUUAGGAGCCUCAGCUCGCGUUCGCCAGCAGCCGCCUCCGAGAAAGACACGGCGCGAAGAGACCAGACAGAGACAGGCAGGCAGGCAGGCACUCACCAUGAGCUAGCUAGCUAGCUAGCGACGGCUGCUGGCAAUGUCGUCGUCGCUGCCGGAUGGAGGCGUCGCCAAUUGGCAACGAAACGAAGACGCCAAGUCCUCGUGUCGAGGGCGGGCGACGCGCGCGCGCCAGCCAACCGGAAUUCUGCAGGGCUGCAGAUGUUUUCGGGGUGCUUAAUUAGUUUGACGGCGAC